AUGGGGAAAAAAAAAAAUCCUAAAAGACUUCAUGCUGGCUGGUAUUUAAUUUUGGAGCAGAACAAAAGCCACGGUGCUGUCCCUUGUUGGGUUGUAUGGCACGGACACCACUCUGGUGGAGACGGUGAGCAUGUCCAGCUGGCACCAGCAUCAUUUUUGGGUAUGGCACCAGCACAAUUUUUGGGAAGUGGCAAUGCAACCUCUCCGCCAGAAGCCCAUCACCACGCUGCCUUAAGCACGCCAGCUCCCGGAGAGCUUUUCUACCUCUCCAUGCUCCCAGCUCGGUCACGGGUCAGACUGGGAGGGCAGCAGCUUGGGUGGCAGCAACCCCCCCAGAUCAGACACGUUAUUAAAUCCCCAGCAAUCGGGUCACGUAUCCAACUUCUAUUUUCCUUCCGCACUAAAGCCAACCUUCCUGUGACAAAUUCUUCCCUUGUUCCCGGCUCCGUAUCCGUUACCAGCACCGUGCACUCCUCCAAAAACCAGAUCCUCCUUGAGCCCACCAGCACAGGAACUGCCCUCCUCGCUGGUCCAGUGCCCUUCCUCUUUUUUUUGUAUUUUUUUUUAUUUAGACUUGACACCUUCUUCGUCCCGGCAGCCUUUACCGGCGUGAUUUCAUCCCGAGUGGGUGGAGAGCUCGCUCUCCCCCGCUCGCAGCCUCUUCCCGACGGCUCCUGGGAUCCCCGCCAGCUCCUCUCCACCCACGGCCUCUCGCGUCGAGGCGAACCACGCGGCUCCUGCUGCUCCCCGUGCCAGAGGAGGCAUCGCACAGCUGGGAGGAUGCCUCGGGGAGACAGAGAGGAGCUGAGGAUGCCCUCACAGCAGGCAUGGGUCCCUCCGUCUGCGCCCUUGGCCAGGAAAAGGGAAAAGGAGGAGCCCUCUGAGCACCAGAAGCACUUCUGGGCUGGGUGGGUGCUGGAGUUCUGGCAUGGGUACCCAGAGGUUGUGGUGUCCCCUCCUUGGAGAGCUCCAAAAGCCACCUGGAUGUGGCCUGGGCAGCAGCUCCGGGUGGCCCUGCUGGAGCAGGGUGGGAGCAGAGGGACCCCAAAGGUCCCUUCCCACCACAACCAGUCUGGGGUUCUGGGAACUCAGCUUAGGAACAGCUUGGCAGGUCCCAUACCAAAUGGAACUUGGUCAUUUUUUAAUUUUCUCCCAUAUUAA
rnacentral:lncRNA from 1 species